AUUGAACGCUGGCGGCAGGCCUAACACAUGCAAGUCGAGCGGAUGAAGGGAGCUUGCUCCUGGAUUCAGCGGCGGACGGGUGAGUAAUGCCUAGGAAUCUGACUGGUAGUGGGGGAUAACGUCCGGAAACGGGCGCUAAUACCGCAUACGUCCUGAGGGAGAAAGUGGGGGAUCUUCGGACCUCACGCUAUCAGAUGAGCCUAGGUCGGAUUAGCUAGUUGGUGGGGUAAAGGCCUACCAAGGCGACGAUCCGUAACUGGUCUGAGAGGAUGAUCAGUCACACUGGAACUGAGACACGGUCCAGACUCCUACGGGAGGCAGCAGUAGGGAAUAUUGGACAAUGGGCGAAAGCCUGAUCCAGCCAUGCCGCGUGUGUGAAGAAGGUCUUCGGAUUGUAAAGCACUUUAAGUUGGGAAGAAGGGCAGUAAGUUAAUACCUUGCUGUUUUGACGUUACCAACAGAGUAAGCACCGGCUAACUUCGUG
rnacentral:rRNA from 1 species